UCCCUGGUGGUCUAGUGGUUAAGACUCUGAGCUUCCAAUGCAGGUGGCCUGGGUUUAAUCCUUGAUCAGGGAA
rnacentral:tRNA from 1 species